AGAGAUUCGUAUGACUGGCGGAAAAUGGGAGCACCCAUAGGGAGUACGAAUAAUAUGAUAAGCCGACCGCCUGGGCAACCACA
rnacentral:ncRNA from 2 species